UACGAAGGGGGCUAGCGUUGUUCGGAAUCACUGGGCGUAAAGGGCGCGUAGGCGGCCGAUCAAGUCGGGGGUGAAAGCCUGUGGCUUAACCACAGAAUGGCCUUCGAUACUGUUUGGCUUGAGACCGGAAGAGGUUAGUGGAACUGCGAGUGUAGAGGUGAAAUUCGUAGAUAUUCGGAAGAACACCAGUGGCGAAGGCGACUUACUGGACGACUGUUGACGCUGAGGUGCGAAAGCGUGGGGAGCAAACAGG
rnacentral:rRNA from 1 species